rnacentral:misc_RNA from 1 species
GUGAUGUGUGCGGAGUGCUCGUGCAGUACCCCGGCACGGAGGGGGAGGUGCUGGACUACGCGGAGUUCGUCAAGGACGCGCACGCGCACGGCGUCAAGGUGGUCAUGGCCACCGACCUGCUCGCGCUCACCUCGCUGCGCCCGCCCGGUGAGAUCGGCGCCGACAUCGCCGUCGGCUCCGCGCAGCGGUUCGGCGUGCCCAUGGGGUACGGAGGCCCG